UCAUCCUACGGGACGCAGCAGUAGGGCAUCUUCGGCAAUGGGGGCAACCCUGACCGAGCAACGCCGCGUGAGUGAAGAAGGUUUUCGGAUCGUAAAGCUCUGUUGUAAGUCAAGAACGGGUGUGAGAGCGGAAAGUUCACACUGUGACGGUAGCUUACCAGAAAGGGACGGCUAACUACGUGCCAGCAGCCGCGGUAAUACGUAGGUCCCGAGCGUUGUCCGGAUUUAUUGGGCGUAAAGCGAGCGCAGGCGGUUUGAUAAGUC
rnacentral:rRNA from 1 species